AAUAAGAACAGCAAUGAGUUUCUGCGCCCAACUUUGAUCGUCCGUCUUAUUUGAAUUUUUUUUAUAAUUAGCAUUUUUGUUGCUAUGAGAUGAUAAAAUAUGAAUAGUACUUUACUUGUGACUUAUAUUUUUAAUUUUUUUCGAAAAAAUUUUAAAUAAAACGAACGGUUAAAGUUGGGCGUGGAAAACCAUGGCUGCACUUAUU
rfam:Oryza meridionalis cultivar OR44 (W2112) chromosome 2, whole genome shotgun sequence.